GAGAGAGCCGGAGGGUUUUAUAUAGGCUCUUGCCGGGCUCUCCCCUCCCCUGCCGCCGACCCACAGGAAUGUCUCCAUAUUUGGGUGUUGGGCAUCGAGCAAGCACAGGCGGCCCGGCUGGAGCCCCCCAGGCCCCUUGCGCGGCCGCGGGGCUGCCCAAAGAAGGAGCCCAGGCCCAGGUAACACGGGCCGGGCCGUAUAAGGAGUGUCUGACGGCCGGGACCUUCUCCACCCCCCCGGGCCACGAGGGCUCCUGUCCCAAAUAAUCCCCCGAACCACCAUGCCCUGAAAGGAGAAAGAAGCCCCCGGCUCGCGGCCGGCGGGCGGGAGUGGCAUAGGAAGGGGGCUAGGCAGCUACUGGGGCGUCCCCCAGCCCGGUCGCUCAAUGAAGGAAUGAAAACAACAAGGCAGGGAGGAAACUGCGAGGGCGCAGAGGGCGGGGGAAGGCGAGGGGGCAGCAAAGGCGACGAGGUUGUGGCCUGCGGGCCCUCUCGCCUUUCCCCCUCGGCGGCGCCAGCAAGGGAGCUGGCCAGCAGCUCCGCUAGAACUUCACUCGCUGCUGCUGCUGCUGCUGUUUUCCCCUCAACCUCCUCCCGCUUGUGGAGUGGGGAGGGGAAGCCACGUGCCACCAGAGAUUAGGCCCUCUGUGUUCAGGAGGCCUUACUUCCAGGGAGAGCAUUCCACAAAUGGGUAGCGACCACCAAAAAAGCCCAUUCUCACUUUGCCAACCUUCACAUCUCCCUGGAGAGCAGCAACACAGAGAAGGACCUCUGAUGACAAUCACAGGAUCUGGCAAACCAACAACCCAAAACAGCCUGGUAUCAAAUGGAGAAGAGACUCUUCAUGGAGAGGCACUUGGAGAACUACUUUCUAGUCUUCAUGUCAUUACCUAGAUGGUAGUAGAUCGUGUUAUCAAUGUGAAUUACUUGUCUAGGAUUGGGAUACAGUGAUAAUUUUAUCAAACACUAUCAUCAAUGGAUGAGGGGAAAAACUCAGACUGAAAAAUUCUUCCUUGAUCGGAGAUCACCAAAACUCUUAUUCUCAUACCUCAUCAAUAUACUCCAGCAGAUCAAGAGCCUUCUUGAAGUCAUAUUCAUUAGCCCUCCUGUUCUCAGAAGAUAUGUAUAACUAUUGGAUGAAAGAUUGAAACACAAAAUUGUUUUAGACUCCAAAACAGCGUACCUGACCUUGUUAACUCUCAUGUUUCUCCAAAAAACCUGAAAAAUGGAAAUGGACUGCCUUCACGUCGAUCCCGACUUAUGGCGACCCUAUGAAUAGGGUUUUCAUGAUCUGCAAGCUGUAUACUUUACACAAUGGCUUGUAAAACAUACACCUCCAGUUUAAGUCCUGAAUGCUACAUCUGCGUAUGGGACAGAAGCUCAGUAGGAUGCAAGAAAGCAGGGCUGGUCCAAAACAUUUUCCUGCCUGAAGCAAAGGAUAAGAUGGUGCCUGCCCCCAAAUUCCAUGUACAGAAGCUAAGAGGACUGGCAGUUGAAUCACUGGUGAGAGGACAGCAUCUCCUACUGUUUCCGAGGACAGUAGUCUAGCUUAAGGAAGUGUAGGGCAUGGCAUGCAGCACACACAGCUCUGUUCUCCAACAUCUCACUGCUGCCCUCAGCAUCUGCUGCCUGAGGGAGCUGCCUCAUUUUGCCUGAUGAUAGGACUGGCCCCAUAAGCAAGACUGGUUAUUCUCUGUAAAUUAUGAGGACCUUGGAUACUCUAUUUCUGUAACAGAAAAAAAACCUGUACUGUCAUAAUUCUGGAAAAAAAACCUAUAGCAAAUUAAAGGUUUCUCCUAUGACAUAAAAAGCCUGUUCGCUUGGAGUGAAUAAAGAACAUUACCUGAUCAGCAAACUGGGUCAUGUAACGUUGCAAU